AUGAUUCAAAUGCUUUGGGUUUUGUUUUCUUCCACAGAUCUCCCUUCCAGUCAGGCGAUCAGUGGAGAAAGGAGAGGAACAGACCAAACAGCCCCAGGGAGGAAGCUCUUGGAAGACUUCCCUGGAUGUCAUUCCCUUCUCUCUCUGAAAUGCCAGCUCCGUCCCCGGGCUCUAACAGCGUUACUGAAACCUCCCCGGUGUUGCCAGAAUGUGCUGGAGGAGCCAGAUGAGCUGUCAACGAGUAGGUAUCAGGCAAACGGCCUUUGCACGGGGCAGUUGCACUUUUUUGGACAUGGAGGGCAGGCUGCGUGGAGGGCAGAGUCAGUGGCUGCUGUGAGGGCUGCAGGGGAGCUACGUGGGCUCUGCCCAGUCUUGCAACAGGGACCACGCACCGUGCCAAAGCCUUGUGUGCACAUGGGAAGGACUGCAGGUAUGAAAAGAACGUAGAGAUGUGGAGAAAAAAAAAAAAAAGAAUUUAGGGAGCAGGAAUGCUGCAGACAUCCAACAACCCGUGGAAUCGAGGAGCUAGCCCUGGCUCGGUCCUGCAGGAUGCGCAGUCCCCAAGGACUGAGGUAGCAGCCAAGGCCGUGGCUGCUCCCCAGGGCCUCUCCCCCCGCCCUGAGCUCACUUGGGUGUCUUCAGCCCAGGAUCUCCCAGGGAGAAAUUUGGGGCCUCGCUCAGGAACAGAUGGUCUCCCUCGUGGGCCCCAUCUGCCAGGCAACACUGGAGCAGUUGCUCUCUGCAGUGCCGAGCAGAAUCUUGUUUACUUUCCCCUCGUGUCAGCAAGGUGAUGUGUAGGGAAACCAAGCCCUGCUGUUGCCAGCCCCGAUUUCCAGGAGCUGCAAGGUGCAAGAGCAAAACCCAAGAGACACCUCUGCGAGGGCCAGGCAACGUGGCAUCCACCAGCACAGAUCCAAGGUGGAGUCUGGCCAAGAAGAGUGCUGAAGUUGCAAGGGGGGCAGGAUAUUUGGGAAGCCAUUGAUCCACAUGCAGGAUAAAAACACGUGGACUAAAGGAGAAACCUGGAGUGAAGUUUCCCAAGGGGCAUCCUGCUAGGAGCAACAUGCACGUGAGCCUUGUCUGUGAUAAAUUGCUCAAUGCCCAGACUGCCAAGAGACACAUGGUGCGUUUAGUGGAGGUCUUUGCCUCUGACUACACCUAGAGCCAAGUUCUGAGCAUGUAUUCAUGGUUCCUGAAUUGAAGAGGGGGAAAAACAAGGCAGCAGCCUGUCUUCUAAGACCCAAGUGAGUGAUUUUCAGGGUGUCUUGGUCACUUGGGCAUCCUUGUGAGCUCAGCUCACUGGGCCUCAGUGUAUCUGGCCAGGCAGGCAGCUAGCAGCUGCUCUAGAAAAGUUCAGCCUUAAUGCCCAGAAAUGUCUGGUAGAAAUUCUCAUCAUCAGGGAAGUCAGGGCCUGAAAUGACCCUCACUUUGAGGUCUCACCAGCUUUUAAAGACGAGGCUGGGUAGGCAGGAGGGGUUGGAAGGAUGGACCGCUGCUUUGCAGCUGCUCCUUCCAUCCAUCCAUCCCAGCUCAGGGCACAAACAUCGUCAUCCAUCAGGGCUGUGGGGAAGCGUCUCUAGACAGCAUUAAGCACACACAAAAAUAGCAAGCGAGACCAGCUCCUCCUCCAGCAGCACCAGCCAAAAUUGCUGCAGCAUGGCUGAUAAAGGAACUUCACUUAUUCUUUUCCAGGUUCUGCUAUCGGAGCCCAGGAUCGAGGACUGCAGAGGAUAUCACGGGUCCGUGCGCGAGUGCAUGUUUUCCAGAGACCUUGGCCCCAGAAGUCAGCCUGGUGAGGUCCUGCUCUCUUAGGUAGCCAGGUUAAGCACUCAGUCCUCUAAUGGUGCCUGAUGAGCAGAGGGCACGGAGCAUUACUUUAUCCCCUCCCCUGAGGGUUCCCAUCCGUAGAGGCUCCGGCACAGGAUGCUGCCUCUGUCAGCUCUGCAGUAAUCAGCCCAGAGGCAGGAAGUGGAAACUUUCUGCUUGCAGCCACUUAGUUUCAUUAGAAGCAUCAAAAGAGAAAACAGGCCUCAGGUGGGGCAGUGAGAGGCAGAGACACGCAAGGGGCUGGGGAGAGGGGAUUUGCAGCUCUAUUUAACAUGUCACUUAGCAGGUAAACCUCAGCUAAGAGCUGGAGAAAAGUGGUAGGGAAGAGGGGCAGAGGCAGCCUGAAGCUGGGGGCUGUCACUGACAUCACUCAGAGCUGUCAGGAGAUCAUACAGCUCUGGAAAACCUGUUUAUUAUUUGUAUUUUUUCACAAAAACAGCAAUAGGGCUGAGCAGAAAUCCCACCCUGCUGCCCUAAGGCUUCCUCCCUGUCCCUCUUCUCCUCUGUAAGACUUUUGUCUUGAUUUCUUUUCAAAAACCUGGUGCCCUGGGAAUUGUGUCCCUUUCCCAGUGCUCUGCUCCGGGUCUUGAUUAUCCCUGUCACUGCAAAGAAUUUCCCUAAUGUUCAGCCCAAGUCUUCCUUGUUCACCACAACCAUGACACUGUUCGGAGGUAGGAUAUUAAGGGCUGGAGUCGCUCCCAUAAUAAUGUAUUGAUUUCAAUGAAGCCAAGCUCAAUGGGGAGGAGUCUGUCCAGCCUUGCUCCAUCCCCCUUGUGCCCCAAGAGAACGUUUUGUGUUAGACUAAAUGCCUCUGUAAGUGCCUCUCAGUUCUGUGCUCGUCGUGAGCCGUUCUGUGUAGACACAUUGAAGCAGGCAGGGAGCAGGAUCAGGCCAGUAAUCACAUUUCCUUUUGGCAGUAGGUAUUUUAUCAGCCUUGGUCUCCCUGGGCACUCUGAACCGCGUGGCUGUCUGGCUCUCCUGAGCAGAUCUCAUAGCCCAGGCAGGCAGGAGUUCUUCCACCAGGCGCAGCCCUCUCCCCCUUGCUUCCCAUUUCAUUAACGUCCUCUCCCAAGAGUGGAAAUGAAUUAAACCGCUCACCUCCUAAGCCCUAUUUCCCUCCUUGUACUUUUCCCUAAGCCACCUCCAAUAAAGCAGCCUGUGCACACCAGUGGCAGUGGGACAGUUGUGCACAUCUGGCAGGCACGUAGGGGUCACAUCAGCAGGCACAUCAGUCGCUCACUGACCAGCAGCAGCAUCUGGGAUCUUGAAGCAGAGAAGAUUCAUCAUUUGGUGACCGUCUGUUGCAGUAAUUCCUGCUCUACAACAUAGGCAGAGUAGAAUUCUGCAUCCAGCUCCCCUCCCUCUGUGGCUACCAGCAUCUUUAUCUUUCUUUCCAGCUGGGAAAGGGGUCUCCUUGACAAGGAGGGGAGCACAGAUAUUCACAAGAUGCCAAGGGUCCUCGGGACUAACAUUUGCAUCUCUAGUUCUCACUGGCCAGAUCCUUUUGCCUCUAUAUUUUUCUUUGUCCUGUAGGAAGGCAGGGAUAUACAGCCAGGGAGCAGCAGCUUUUUAGCUUUUUUUUUUUUUUUUUUUUUUUUUUUUUUUUUUUGACAGGCAAAGCAGGAAAAAGUGACCCAAGAGGUGCCAGAGGAACAGAUCCUAGAUUCCUGAAGUCCCACUCAUUAAAAAGUGUCGCCUCUUGUUUCUGUCUGUGCCUGCUUUGUGGACGCAGAUGUUGCUUUAUUCUCACAUGGGUGAGCAGUUGUUUUUAAGUGAGCUCCUGUCCACAAGCCUUGCAUCUUCCCAUAACCAGCAGAGUUUGUUUGCCAUCCUUGGAGAUUCAGCAAAAAUAAUCACACUCAGAGACACCUGCAGCGUCCUUUAGCAAGCUCUGCCCUGAGCCAGAGAGGGGCUGGGACAGGGAGUCCCAUCAGCCAGGAGAUGGAGCAGCUUGCCUCCCCAGCAAGGUGCAAGCUAGGGUGAGAAAGUCUGGGCCCUUUGCAGGGU
rnacentral:lncRNA from 1 species